UCAAGUUAAAAAGAGCACUAGGUGAAUGCCUAGGCACCAAGAGGCGACGAAGGACGUGACAAGCUGCGAAAAGCUACGGAGAGGAGCAAAUGUCCAUCGACCCGUAGAUAUCCGAAUGGGGAAACCCACCGUAAGGUAUCCUAUAGCCAAUUCAUAACUAUAGGAAGCGAACCAGGUGAACUGAAACAUCUAAGUAACCUGAGGAAAAGAAAGAAAACUCGAUUCCCUGAGUAGCGGCGAGCGAACGGGGAAGAGCCCAAAGUGUAAAAAGAGACAAUAGCCAGCCAAAUAAUCUGGGAAGAUUAACCAAAGAAGGUAAGAGUCCUGUAGGCGAAAGCGAAGAUAUCCGACACAAAAGAGUACCACGGAACACGAGAAAUUCAGUGGGAAUAUGGGGGGACCACCCCCUAAGGCUAAAUACUACUUGGUGACCGAUAGCGAACAAGUACCGUGAGGGAAAGGUGAAAAGAACCCCGAGAGGGGAGUGAAAUAGAAUCUGAAACCUAGUGUUUACAAGCAGCGAAAGUGGCAUACGCCACGAUCGUGUACUUUUUGUAGAACGGGCCAGCGAGUUACGAUUACUAGCAAGGUUAAGCAUUACAGAUGCGGAGCCGAAGCGAAAGCGAGUCUAAAUAGGGCGAAAGUUAGUAGUUGUAGACCCGAAACCGUGUGAUCUAUCCAUGAGCAGAGUGAAGUUGAAGUAAAAUUCAAUGGAGGCUCGAACCGGGUAACGUUUAAAAGUUAUCGGAUGACUUGUGGAUAGGGGUGAAAAGCCAAACGAACACGGAGAUAGCUGGUUCUCCUCGAAAUAGCUUUAGGGCUAGCCUCUAGUAAGACAUGAAAAGGGGGUAGAGCACUGAUUGGUUGCGGGGCAUGCAUAUGUUACCAAAACCUAUCAAACUCCGAAUACCAUAUCAUGCACUAGGGAGUCAGACUAUGUGGGAUGAGCUUCAUAGUCGAAAGGGAAAGAGCCCAGACCAUCAGCUAAGGUCCCAAAAUUAUAGUUAAGUGGGAAAGGAUGUGGAGUUACUGAGACAACUAGGAUGUUGGCUUAGAAGCAGCCACUCAUUUAAAGAGUGCGUAAUAGCUCACUAGUCAAGUGACUCUGCGCCGAAGAUAACCGGGGCUAAACUAUAUACCGAAGCUAUGGAACGAAUAACGUUGGUAGAGGAGCAAUGUAUGAAGGACGAAGCAUAAGCCGUAAGGCAGUGUGGACAUCAUACAAGAGAGAAUGCUGGCAUGAGUAGCGAGAGGUGAGUGAGAAUCUCACCCGUCGAAAACCCAAGGAUUCCUGAGCAAGGCUCGUCCACUCAGGGUAAGUCGGGACCUAAGGCGAGGCUGAAAAGCGUAGUCGAUGGACAACAGGUUGAAAUUCCUGUACCGAUACAAUCGUUAAAGGAAGUGGGGACGCAGGAGGAUAAUAAGAGCGCCCAGUUGGUGAGGCGUGCAAGCGCAAAGUCUGGAGAGUAGGCAAAUCCGCUCUCCGAAAAGGAUGAAGCGUAAUGCGGAUCGAAAACAAGUAGAGAAGCUUAUGACUCCACACUGCCAAGAAAAGCCACUACAAGAGAAGUAUCGCCCGUACCGUAAACCGACACAGGUAGGUGAGGAGAGAAUCCUAAGACGAGCGGAAAAACCUUUGUUAAGGAACUCGGCAAAAUGACCCCGUAACUUCGGGAGAAGGGGAGCCCCUGUAACAGGGGGCCGCAGUGAAAAGGCCCAAGCGACUGUUUACCAAAAACACAAGUUUCUGCUAAGUCGAAAGACGAAGUAUAGGAGCUGACACCUGCCCGGUGCUGGAAGGUUAAGGGAAAAAGUUAGCGCAAGCGAAGCUUAGAACUGAAGCCCCAGUAAACGGCGGCCGUAACUAUAACGGUCCUAAGGUAGCGAAAUUCCUUGUCGGGUAAGUUCCGACCCGCACGAAAGGUGUAACG
rnacentral:rRNA from 1 species